rnacentral:rRNA from 1 species
UACGUAGGUGGCAAGCGUUGUCCGGAAUUAUUGGGCGUAAAGCGCGCGCAGGCGGUCCUUUAAGUCUGAUGUGAGAUCACGUGGCUCAACCACGUGCGGUCAUUGGAAACUGGAGGACUUGAGUGCAGAAGAGGAAAGUGGAAUUCCAAGUGUAGCGGUGAAAUGCGUAGAGAUUUGGAGGAACACCAGUGGCGAAGGCGACUUUCUGGUCUGUAACUGACGCUGAGGCGCGAAAGCGUGGGGAGCAAACAGGAUUAGA